rnacentral:lncRNA from 1 species
CGUGUGGUGGCCAGUGGUCAGAAAGCGUCAGUCGUUGGAACAGGUGGAGUAACUCGUUCAUUGCUGGACUAUUUCGUCGUUUUCUUUACAAUACUGAAGCCUCUGGCUUAUCUACUGUGUUUUGAUGGAUUAUUGAAGUGAAUGAUAAUAGAGACUUUAGAAAUAACUGACAUUAUUGGUAUAUAAACGGUGGUGAUGUGUCAACAAAUCGCAAUUGACUGGACCCAAACACCGACAGGCUGUACACAAGUCUCCUGCAGGCAGUGUCCAAAGGAAAGGCUGCAGUGGAACACAAACUUGCCGAUUUGAAGAAGAUGGAGCAGAACUGCAUCACCUUAGUGUCGGUGGUGGGCACUCUUGGCGGCCUCAUGAUACUAGCAAUCCUCGCUACCCUCUGCUUCUCUGUCAGCAAGAGACACUCAGGAAUCAAAAAGACUCCCGUUAGCAGAGAUAACAGGAAGAAGUAAAGUUGGACGGACAAACAAGCCUCAGGAACUAACUCGUUCGUAAGUAGAGGAGCAUCUAUAUACAGGUGGGUGAUGAUUUAUUCUUGUCAAAAAAUUAUCAAUGAAGGAACUGUUUUCUCCAUGUAUAAACUUUGAUUGAUCAAACUUUCAGUAAGUUGUUAGCAGGGAUGGCAUAAGGAUGCUAUUGGAAAAAAAUAUUUUCUGCUUGUUGGUUAUCCUUGGUCAUAUUGACUAAAUGUCAGUUAUGGAUACAUAAUAAAUUAGAUGCUUUUUCAGCAGAUGCAGCUCACCAACUUACAAUAGGCUAACUUAACUUACAACGUGCUUUCAGUAGUCUAUGUUGAACCAUAUGACAGUCAUCUGAGUAAAAACUCGCACAAUAUUCAUUGACUGUCCUAUGUGUUAGACUUUACCGCCAUUGGUGAAUAGAAUUUUAGUUUUACAUUUGUAAAUAUUAUUUAAAACAUAUAUGAACAGCAAAUAAGUGUUGCUUUCAUAUUCAUAUGUAGAGAAAUGAC